AGUCAUACACAGAUAUACGCACUCAUAUAUACACACACACACACACACACACACACACACACACACACACACACAUAACACACACACACACGUACACACACACACACACAGAGAUAUAUACACACACACACACACACACACGUGUACACACACACUCAUACACGCGUUGUGAAAUGGAAGCAAUAAGGUUUAUCGACUCACUGGGGAAUGCAUGGAUGGAUUUUCUUAAAGCAUAGAAGUUUAUAUUUCAUGACCAGUUUUAAUGUUUUUAAAAAGCAUUUAUUUAGAUUUAAUCAAUGUUUUUACCUAAUCAACCACUCUGCUAUGUUCACCUUUUAAAACCAGCCAAGAGGUUAUGAUAGGAGAGGAAGGGAACGUGUGAGUCCCAUCAGACUGCCUUAUAUCAGUUACAGAGAGCUAAACAAACCAUGUGUGUUUAUUGAAAUGACUUGUGGGAAUGUAAACACACACCUACACACUUACACACACCCGGCCACGUCCCAUUCAGAGGUGUAUGAUGUCACCUCCCCCCGGCCACGUCCCAUUCAGAGGUCUAUGUAGUCACCUCCCCCCGGCCACGUCCCAUUCAGAGGUCUAUGUAGUCACCUCCCCCGGCCACGUCCCAUUCAGAGGUCUAUGAUGUCACCUCCCCCGGCCUAGUCCCAUUCAGAGGUCUAUGUAGUCCCCUCCCCCGGCCACAUCCCAUUGAGAGGUCUAUGAUGUCACCUCCCCCGGCAACGUCCCAUUCAGAGGUCUAUGUAGUCCCCUCCCCCGGCCACAUCCCAUUGAGAGGUCUAUGAUGUCACCUCCCCCGGCCACGUCCCAUUCAGAGGUCUAUGAUGUCACCUCCCCCGGCCACGUCCCAUUCAGAGGUCUAUGAAGUCACGUCCCGGCCACGUCCCAUUCAUGAACCACUGUCCCACGGUACAGGGUGAAAAGUUGAGUACAGUUCACUUGGCCUCUACCCAGCUUGCUGGCUUUCAUCCAAAAUCCUUAAAACCACUUCCCUCUACCCCCUAUGCACUUGUGGAGAGCUGAUUCGCCCAGGGUACAAGUGUUUAAGGGCAGAUACACGGCAGCCAUGUUUCAUAAUGGAAUGCAGCCGGAGGCCAUCUCAGCCCGGUGACGUUCUCUGGGGUUUGUAGUCUUUUCAGUUGUAGUUCUUAUCCUGGCUGCUACAAUGUUAAGAAUCCCUUUUUGCUCAGUCUUUUACUGAUGUUCUUCAUCAGACUUUGUACUGUGUGAAUGCUAUGCUGAGGGCUUCACCCCAAAACUACCUUCUAGAUCAUUUUGAUACUGCUUUGAUUUUGUGUCUAAAAUAUAGUGUUGCAGAA